UACGUAGGGUGCGAGCGUUAAUCGGAAUUACUGGGCGUAAAGCGUGCGCAGGCGGUUUUGCAAGUCGGAUGUGAAAUCCCCGGGCUCAACCUGGGAAUGGCAUUUGGGACUGCAAGGCUUGAGUGCGGCAGAGGAGACUGGAAUUCCUGGUGUAGCAGUGAAAUGCGUAGAUAUCAGGAGGAAUACCGAUGGCGAAGGCAGGUCUCUGGGCUGACACUGACGCUCAUGCACGAAGGCGUGGGGAGCAAACAGG
rnacentral:rRNA from 1 species